ACGUUCUUAUCAUUUUGGUGAACUGGAUCUGAACACGGUGUCGCUGUCGCAACGAUAUUCAGCCGACUGCAUGGGCUACUACGCGUCUGCGGGAAGCAUCAGCUUCUGCUGAGCGUGACACUCGGCCGUCACACUGGAAUGGUGCUCUGAGGGAUUUUGUCCAGGUGGCGACAGCAGAGGCUGUCGUUUCCCCUUCUGAAAAACAUUUUGAGGCCAAAGAGAGGGCGACCCCUGAAUGGCAGCGCGGAAUUCAGACAAACCAAAAUCAUGUAAACAACAAUUUAACCUCCUUGGCAGAGUGGACUUAUUAUCUAACUGUGAUUUGGGAGCUCGCGUGGACUUGAUACAGACUAUUUUGAUCUCUGUGUUGGCUUCACCUGAAGUCCCACUUGGAAUUGCCGCAUGACCCAGAUUGAGUCCCAACUUUAGCAUCCAGCUGUCAGUGAUGAGUUUUCUC